UACGUAGGGUGCGAGCGUUGUCCGGAAUUAUUGGGCGUAAAGAGCUCGUAGGCGGUCUGUCGCGUCGAAUGUGAAAACCCGGGGCUCAACUCCGGGCUUGCAUUCGAUACGGGCAGGCUAGAGUUCGGUAGGGGAGUCUGGAAUUCCUGGUGUAGCGGUGAAAUGCGCAGAUAUCAGGAGGAACACCGGUGGCGAAGGCGGGGACUCUGGGCCGAUACUGACGCUGAGGAGCGAAAGCGUGGGGAGCGAACAGG
rnacentral:rRNA from 1 species